rnacentral:tRNA from 2 species
UCCUUGUUGGCUGAACGGCUAGGCGGCUGAUUGCAAACCAGCAUUAAGUGGGUUCAACUCCCACACAAGGCUCCA